rnacentral:tRNA from 1 species
AGCUCAGCUGGUUAGAGCAAAAGGCUCAUGACCAUUCGGUCGAUGGUUCGAAUUCAUCAUGGU